AAGUCGUAACAAGGUUUCCGUAGGUGAACCUGCGGAAGGAUCAUUACAGUUAUUAAUUCCAGCCAGCGCUUAACUGCGCGGCAGGAACUAAUCUUACACACUGUGUUUUUUGUUAUUACAAGAACUAUUGCUUUGGCUUGGCCUUCGGGUUGGGCCAGAGUGCUGUAAACUUCAAUUUUAUUGAAUUGUUUUUUUAACUAUAAGUCAAUUUGUUUGAUUAAAUUCAAAAUAAUCUUCAAAACUUUCAACAACGGAUCUCUAGGUUCUC
rnacentral:misc_RNA from 1 species